GAUAUGUUGGAAUCAUUUUUUAAUUAUUUUUUUUUUUGCCCAAGAGGGGCCAGGUGGAAAAUCUGUGACUCAAGAGGCAGUGAACAUAAUACCAUUUUCUGGGGGAAAAAAUUGGUCGGCUACUUGAUGUUAAUUAUGGCACAGUAACAGGAAAAGGUUGUGUCUGUGUUUUUAAGUUUUUCUUUAUUCUGCUUUUUUGCUGCUAUAAGAGUUUUCUGAAAUUUAUAUUUUAAACUUUUCAUGCACUUUACUGUUUCUAGUCUCAAAAUGUGAUAUUUUUAAUAAACAAAUUUUCCAUUAUGUGAAUGAAAUUUUAAAAGAAAAUAGCCUAUAUUUGUGUCUCACUAAUAUAUAAAGUACAGGUCAAAUUUAAAUUAUUUAAUUUUAUUAGUUUUAAAUAUAUACAAUUUGUCUCUUUCAAACUUGACAUCUUAGGCUGUUUUAUUAGUCUUAACUGAUGGAUUUUCUUUGGUCGUUUUGUACUAAUUUCUCCCGUAGUAAAUUAAUCAGGCUAUAUAAGAUAAUAUUUCCCCUGAAGGGUAAUUUUAGUGGGAUGAGGGUGGUGGGAUGAUGUAAUAUCUAUGUGGGAUUGCAUCAGAAGGGUUCUGUAAACCCUAAACUCCCUUUUAAAAGUGCCUAGUGAUAGAGGCAUUGUUUGUCAUCUACUGUAAUUGGAAUGUCAUUGUAGUUCAGUGAAGUUUGAUGUAAAUAAAAUAUUCUUUUAGAAAUGUUAAAGUACAAGAGUAAAAUAAAAAGAAACCCUUAAAGAUGACAGAUUUUCCUCAACGUGCAGGUAUUCCUUCUUAUAUACCUCAAGCAUCCAGCAUCUAGCCAUUCAAAUUGAUUACGUGAAGCAUAGUACUGGAAAGUAGAAUAGCAUGAAAAACUUAAUUUUGUGGACAUUACCUUUUUUUGUAAUCAGCUACUGUAUGUUUUAUUUUAGAUCUUUUGGGUGGGUUUUCUGCUCUGGAGGUAUAUGCACUAACAAAAUACUUUCCUCCUUUCAUACACGCAUGUUUAUUAGCAAUGUGAGCAAUAUUUCUUACCAUACUUCACUCCCAAUAUUUUUUGAGAUGUUUGUAUAAAAUGGAAUUUAAAGUUCACUUAUGAUUGUAUAUGAACCACAGAGGAGCCCAUUUAUUAAUAAAAAACUUUUUAAAUAGUUAAAUGUAGAGGGAAAAAAUAAAAAAAAAUUGGGAAACAUUGUAAACAGCUUAAGUUUAUUUUGUGUAUGAUCAAGGCACUCUGUUGCAGGAAGGUGUGUAAUUGGGUUCUCUCUGCUUCCAAAUGCACUCUUUCAAACCCUUCAUUAUCCUGUGUAUUUUUAAUGUGGUUUUAGUAAUGUUAGUAGUAGCUUUGUUGAAGUAGGUAAUUGUGUUAUGUUUUAGGUGGUACCCACACUUGGGGCAUGGUAACCCAAAUUUCAUGUGCACGGUUUCCCUUUUGCCCAUUGCCCGAAUUUCACACACCCUUCACCCUAUGUUCCCUCUGUAAAAGGAGUGGUAUCUGUUCUGAGCUGCCAAUUCAGAUGAUCAGAAAUGCUGCUGUCCUCAGCAUUGUCUUGUUAAAACUCAUGCCAUUUGGAACUUUGGCAGUGAGAAGCCAAAAGGAAGAGGUGAAUGACAUAUGGUAUAAAUUCAAUGAAAGUAAAAUAUAUAUGCUAAUAUACUUUCUAGUUCUCAGAAUUAAGUUAAAAAGCUUUAUGCUGCAUAUUUUAUCUGAAGAUAAAAGAAAAUUUAGGCAUUUUUGGAUUGUGAUGUAUUAUUUUUUUAAAACUGUUAAAUAUGAUGUCAUUGUCAAAGAACUGGAUUGUUCUUUAAAUUUAUUAAAACAGUGUUGUUUGAGGAAGGGAAAACCACUGUUUGCCAUUGUAACAGUCAUACAAGUGCAUGUCAAGUCACCCACUUUCUCAGGCAUUGGUAUCUGCCUCAUAGCUUUACACACUUUGAUGGGGAAUAUUGCAGCAUCCUCAGGACUGACAUCUGGGAAAGGCUCAAAUCCACUUACUGCUCCUUGCUCGUUAACUUUGUUUUAAAAUAUUGUGCCUGGUGUCAACUUUUAAGCAACAGCACUGCCUAAAAGCAAGCAGAGAUCAGAAUCCCAGCACCAUUCUAUAGGCAACUUUUUAGAAUUGAGAUAUAGUAAAUCUGUUCAAGAUUUAUGAUGUUUUAUGUAAAAAAAAAAAUUUUGUAUGACAUAGCUGAAUAUUUUUGUUUUAUUUCUUUGAUGUACAAGGUGUGUGAACGUUUGUUUGAAUAUCACAUGUUAAAGUCAGGUAUGGCACAAUGGGUUCUGAGACCAGCUUUUUCCCCUCUCCCAUUUGCCUUGUUCCAAGCUUUCUUUUCAAAUUACUUUUCUGAUAUUCUUAGGCAGAUAUUUAAUUUUACUAAUAAGCAUCCUGUGUGAAUGUAUUAAAGAAGCCACUGUAUUUUAGUUUUGUAGUUUGCAGAAAUAUAAAGCUCUUAUAUGCCCCUAUUUUUUGGUGUCUUAAAAUUAUAUAAAUUCACAGAAGAGCAAGGGAGAAAGUUGAAAGAUUUGUAAGGCUCAUAUCACUUGAUUCUAUGGUAAAAUGUUUUAGAAUUGAGGAUGUGGUACAUUAAAACUGGAACAUGGGCAAACGUUGUGUUCCAUUUAAAACUUCUGCCUCCUAAGUAUAUAUUGUUAAAUGGAUAAAAAUUUAAGUUUGUAUUUGCAUUUCCAAGAAUUUCUAAAAAUCACUAAUGCCAUUUGUACUUUUGAUAUCAAAUGGCAAAGAGUAGAGAAAGCACAAGGAAAAAUAGGUUAAAUAUGUUCUUUGAAGGAACCAGAGGCAUAUGGUUUGUCAUUCCUAAUGCAAGGCUAGAUUUUCUAGCAAUAAAAAUUGACAAUUCUAAUAUUUAUUUCAUUCUAAGCUUUUAUAUUCUGAGUUCCUGAGAUAUUUUUAACAGCUUUGCAAAAUAUACUGACCAAUCAGUUGCUUUUGUCACAGAAAACUUUAGUUUUUCCUAUGAUAAUGGUUUUAUUGCAAGUGAAGACUAUGGCACAUUUUCAAAAUAGUAUUUAUACAUAUAUUUUGACAGAAAUGUGAAUUCUCACAUUUGUAAAGUAUUCUCUUUCUCUUUCUCCCACCUGCCCUCCUCUUCAGAAAAAAUUAACUUUCUAAUGUGUAGAUGUGUUUACCCCUUUCCUUUUGAAUUGUAUUAUGUUUGUAGAACUCUGUGAAUUGUAGACAGACAAAUUAAUUGGGGAAGUUAGAAUUAUUUUUCUAAGCCAAGAACUUCAACUAAAGUUUUGAAUUUGUAGACAGAUGAGAACUUUUAUGCUUAUGGUUGCUUUGAGCAAUUUUAAUUAUGUAAUAGCAUCAUAAUCACCAAAUUUAAAUUCAAACAUAAGUAAAUCAGUACAUCUUUAAGCUGGCCUUUUACCAAAAUUAUAAUCUGUUUAAGAAAGAUCCCAAGAGCAUCUUUCACUUUAUAAAGUGAUAUGCCCAUUUUUAUUUUAUGUGUCACCUAAAAGCUUAAGGGGAAAAAGAAAAACCCUUAUAUCUCUACUGCAAGAUGUUCUGAACACAAAAGGAAGGUGGUAAGGGACAGCAUGCGUAUUUCUUGUUUUAACAAAAUACCUUCUUUAUGUAAACUUCUAUGUUAAAUCACAAGUUCCACAACAAGAAAUAGGGAGAUACCAAGAGAAGCAAGCUUUAUUAACCUAGUUAGUAAUUUCUUUUGACAUAAGUUUGGUUAGACUUGCGUUAUUCUUGGAACCAAAGGAAAAAAAGUGUGUUGAAGUUUUCAUUCAGCAAACAUAGCGUUGAAGUAAUGGAAUAUUUUUAAGUAAAAUAGCUCUCACUUUCAAAGCAUAUGAAAUAGACAUUUCUGACUAUUAAAUGUUAAUUUUUUGUGGCACAUCAUAUGUUGUAUUGAGCUGAAAUUAGAAGUAUGUCAUCAGAAAUAACAUUAUGAAAAGGGUAUGCAAAUGCCAAGUGAUAUGACUCUUGGCAUGGUAGCACGGUAUGUGCAGCUUUCAGAAUCUUUCAGAAGGCAUAGUUUGGCACCUGUAAGUAGUUAUUUUUGUUAUAACAAUCUCCCUUAAUUUAGGUAAUUUCCCUGUUUGUGUGUCAC